rnacentral:rRNA from 1 species
GUGGGGUAAUGGCCCACCAAGGCUUCGACGGGUAGCUGGUCUGAGAGGACGAUCAGCCACACUGGGAUUGAGACACGGCCCAGACUCCUACGGGAGGCAGCAGUGGGGAAUCUUGCGCAAUGGGCGAAAGCCUGACGCAGCAACGCCGCGUGCGGGAUGAAGGCCCUCGGGUUGUAAACCGCUUUCAGCAGGAACGAAAAUGACGGUACCUGCAGAAGAAGGUCCGGCCAACUACGUGCCAGCAGCCGCGGUAACACGUAGGGACCAAGCGUUGUCCGGAUUUAUUGGGCGUAAAGCGCUCGUAGGCGGUUCGGUAAGUCGGGUGUGAAACCCCUGGGCUCAACCCGGGGACGCCACCCGAUACUGCUGUGACUCGAGUUCGGUAGGGGAGCGGGGAAUUCCUGGUGUAGCGGUGAAAUGCGCAGAUAUCAGGAGGAACACCGGUGGCGAAGGCGCCGCUCUGGGCCGAAACUGACGCUGAGGAGCGAAAGCAUGGGUAGCAAACAGGAUUAGAUACCCUGGUAGUCCAUGCCGUAAACGUUGGGCACUAGGUGUGGGUUCCAACCAACGGAAUCCGCGCCGUCGCUAACGCAUUAAGUG